CCAGAGUUUUCAAACAGGGACAAGUUUCAAACAAGUUUCAAACAGGGUUUUAGCACAGAGUUAAUUAACAAAUAUUUUACAAUAAUUAUCCAUUCCAAGUUAUGUUUGGCAGCUCCUUCUGCCUCGGGUGAUGUCCGAACUCUCCCCACCCUAACUCUCAAGGGAGCCAGAACCAGAGAGUGCAAAUCAAGUGGGGGAAUCCAGCUGCUUCUAUGGACCCGAGACGUGGGAGCCGCUAUCGCCAUCUGCUGGUUUCUUCUAGAACUGCCGGCUCCCCUAGGCAGGUAACUGCUCUCAUCUCCUCUGGUGAAGCCUUCAGGACACAGAAUCCGGAUGAUCAUCUUUGCCUGUUAAUCCAAUCCUGGAGGAGGAAAAACAUCCCAAUGAUGGUGCCAGAGUCUCAGUCCCAUGGCAGUGCCCCAUCACCGCCAAGGACGAAAUGCAUGAGGGUACUUGAAAUGGAGCAGUGUCCACAUCUGCGGAUUCCACUUCUGUGCGGGCUCUUAGCGGGGUAUGGCCUCUGCUCAGGGGCCAUCCCUCCAGCCACCUUUGUCCAUAGGUCCUCCCCUUCAGCCUCCUCCAGCCCCAGUGUUAAGGGUUGAACUGUAUUCCCCCCAAAGUCACGUGUUGAAGCCCUAACCCCCAGGACUUCACUCAGAAUGUGGGGUCUUUGCAGAGAUAAUCAAGUUGAAAUAAGGUCUUUCCAGGGAGACCCUAAUCCAGUAUGUCUAUGACCUUAAAAAAAAAGAAAUCUGCACCCAGAGACACACAUAGCGGGAGAAUGAUGUAAAGAGACCCAGGCAGAAGGCGCCAUGUGCACGGCAGGGACAGAGUCCAGGAGCAGACUCCCCUCGGGGCUCUCAGAAGGACCCAGCACUGCCCACCCCAGACUUGGACUUCCUGUCUCUGGAAGUGAUGUGAUAAUGGCCCUGUGUAAGCCCCAGUCAGCGCUGUGUUACGCAACCCCGGCCCUUCCUCACUGGGUCCCUUGAGAAUGUGCCUUCCAAUGACCCACGUGCUCCCCUCUUGACUUCCCUGCUUACAACCAGCAGAGUGACUCCUGCAUCCCAACCCCUGCAACCCUCUCAGCGGCUUUCCAAUCUGAGACAAGCCUCCCCCAGGUGACCAACACAGUCCCCGAGAGGCGAGCCCUGGUUCCUGACACAGGCACAUGCAUUGUGGGCAGACCUGAGAGUGUGUCAACACCUUACUGAUCCGGGAAAGCAGCUGUAGAAGCCACACCUGGCUGGAGUGACUUGAGGACACAAGAGUUCUGGAUGUGAGGAGGUGGAUACUGUGAGCCAGACAGCUGGGGUGCCAGGAGAGAGGUCAGCGUGGAGGCUGAUGCUGGUGAGAAUGACAGAGGGAGCAGCCUUUAAUAAAUAUUGAUGAAGAACUGAUAAAUGAACGAAUUAAUGAGCCAAAUGUUAUUCCCAUGUGUGCUGUUGUCUGCCCCGCAGGAUGCAGCACGCAUCAUAAUAAUGAGCUGCACACAGAGGGAUGGGAAAUGGCGCCAACACACCAAUCUGCUCCCAUCUCUGAGCUACA
ensembl:lncRNA